rnacentral:misc_RNA from 1 species
GAUGAAGAACGCAGCGAAAUGCGAUAAGUAAUGUGAAUUGCAGAAUUCAGUGAAUCAUCGAAUCUUUGAACGCACAUCGCGCCCCUUGGUAUUCCGGGGGGCAUGCCUGUUCGAGCGUCAUUUCAACCCUCAAGCUCAGCUUGGUAUUGAGUCCAUGUCAGUAAUGGCAGGCUCUAAAAUCAGUGGCGGCGCCGCUGGGUCCUGAACGUAGUAAUAUCUCUCGUUACAGGUUCUCGGUGUGCUUCUGCCAAAACCCAAAUUUUCUAUGGUUGACCUCGGAUCAGGUAGGGAUACCCGCUGAACUUAAGCAUAUCAAUAAGCGGAGGA